AUCGCUUCUUGGCCUUUUGGCUAAGAUCAAGUGUAGUAUCCUGGAACAGAUCCUAAAACAUAAAAUCAACCUAUCUUUG
rnacentral:snRNA from 1 species